rnacentral:rRNA from 1 species
CAGAGGGGGCAAGCGUUGUUCGGAAUUACUGGGCGUAAAGGGCGAGUAGGCGGCCUUCUAAGUCGAACGUGAAAUCCCCGGGCUCAACCCGGGAACUGCGUCCGAUACUGGAAGGCUUGAAUCCGGGAGAGGGAUGUGGAAUUCCAGGUGUAGCGGUGAAAUGCGUAGAUAUCUGGAGGAACACCGGUGGCGAAGGCGACAUCCUGGACCGGUAUUGACGCUGAGGCGCGAAAGCCAGGGGAGCAAACGGG